rnacentral:rRNA from 1 species
GAUGAACGCUAGCGGCAGGCCUAAUACAUGCAAGUCGAACGGUGUCUUCGGACAUAGUGGCGCACGGGUGCGUAACACGUAUGCAACCUACCUUACAUUGGGGGAUAGCCUUUCGAAAGGGAGAUUAAUACCGCAUAAGACAGUAACUAGGCAUCUAGUAGCUGUUAAAGAUUUAUCGAUGUAAGCUGGGCAUGCGUCCAAUUAGCUAGUUGGUGAGUGAACGGCUCACCAAGGCAAUGAUUGGUAGGGGAACUGAGAGGUCAAUCCCCCACACUGGCACUGGGAUACGGGCCAGACUCCUACGGGAGGCAGCAGUAGGGAAUAUUGGGCAAUGGACGCAAGUCUGACCCAGCCAUGCCGCGUGCAGGAUGAAGGCGUUAUGCGUUGUAAACUGCUUUUAUACAGGAAGAAACGACUCUUGCGAGAGGCAUUGACGGUACUGUAUGAAUAAGCAUCGGCUAACUCCGUGCCAGCAGCCGCCGUAAAAC